rnacentral:rRNA from 1 species
UACGGAGGAGGCAAGCGUUAUCCGGAAUUAUUGGGCGUAAAGCGUCCGCAGGUGGCACCUCAAGUCUGCUGUCAAAGACCGGGGCUUAACCCCAGAAAGGCAGUGGAAACUGAAGUGCUAGAGUGCAGUAGGGGUAGAGGGAAUUCCCGGUGUAGCGGUGAAAUGCGUAGAGAUCAGGCGGAACACCCGUGGCGAAGGCGGCCAGCUGGGCCGUCCCUGACGCUGAGGCGCGAAGGCGUGGGGAGCGAACGGG